ensembl:lncRNA
CCUGCGCGUCAGCGUGGCCCUGGGCCGGGCCGCCGCGUUCCGCGCCGGAACGGAAUCGGGUUACCCCGCCCGUUCUCACUGCUGUUUAAUGUGACAGUAAAGGGCCACCUGGCAUUUCGCCCAGCCAUUUAAUAUCCGUUCAGAUCUGGAACGUGUGAAACCCCUGCCACGGAAAAUGUCGGCCACCCAGCAUAUCCUAGGAAAUCCAGUUUGCUGUUAUAUUUUUUUUAAGACGAGGAGCACAACUUGGAGUAUCAUUAACAGAUGUCCCUAGGGUGGUGAUUCGAAUUUCAUGUCUUUCUGGUCGGUCGUCUUCAGGUCUGGUUUAAAAAGUAAUGCUAACAGUUUCAACCUAACAGGUGUGAGAAAUGAUUGAUAGAAUCACUACCAACUUUUGCAAAGGACCUGUCAUUCUUUGUAACACAAAAACGUUAAUGCGUGCUCCUGGCAGGCUCAGCCCCAGCACUUCAAAAGCUGUUUGUCUCUUUUGGUAAAACAAACAAACAAACAAAAAAAAACCUAUUUUAAUCGUCUAAUGUUGCCUUACUGAAAUUGAGACGAUACAGCUCGUAUUGCCCAUAAUAAACUUGCAUAGCUGCGUAAGCCUAGAGGUUUCCAGUCAACCACAAAUCUGGCCUUCGCUAAAAAUAUUAGAAGAUAUUUAAUCAUUGAAUUUUAAAGCAUAUUACAAAAGCAUCGUGAAAACUCAAAUUUUUUUUCUCAUUAAUUCAGAAGACCAAGACCAAAGGCUGAUCUACCGGAGGAGGAAAAGGCUCAAUUUGCUACUUUACCAAAAGUAUUUGGCUCUAAACGAUUACUUUGUGUUUAUUUAUUUCUUGAGUAUGCACCUCAGCAUUUGUGGAAGUCAGUGAACAACCCUUAGUCCAUUCUUCUCCAACCAUGUGGAUCCCACAAAUGAAGAUGUAGAACUCAGCUCCUCCUGCACCAGGCCUGCCCGGAUGCUUCGAUGAUGCCAUGCUCCCGCCUUGAUGACACUGGAUUGAACCUCUGAACCUGUAAGCCAGCCCCAAUUAAAUGUCAU